rnacentral:sRNA from 1 species
UACUGCGCUGGCGGUAUGAUCCCGAAGU